AGGAGAAUAGCUCAAUGGUAGAGCAAUGGUUUUCAAAACCAUUGGCUGAGGGUUCAAAUCCUUCUUCUCCUG
rnacentral:tRNA from 1 species